CGCUGAUCCUAAAAAUAUUUUAAUUUUUUGCUGUACAGUUAAAGAAGUUUUUGAAAAUUAAUAAUAUAACUGAAAUUAAAUUUAAAAUUUGAUUAACUUGAUAAACUUCAACAUAUGGUAAUAACUCCGAAUUAAUUUACGUCACCUCGUUUAGAUACCUUAGAUCAUAUACCGAGGUAGAUUAAUCUACCUUGUCAUGUACACUGAACUAUAAGAUAACUUGUCUUAUAUUUCAAUGGUCGUAACCAUUCAUAUUAAUAAUUUUGCAAGAUGCAUACUAAUUGCUGAAAUAUAAUUGUAUAGGUUACUGCGGAAAAAAUUUAAACAAAGUUCUUCCAGUAACUUAGGUACCUUGGUAUUUUCAAUUAACUCGUUUUGAUUAACAGUGCUUAAAGACGAAUUUGAAAGAUGCAAUAGUUUAUUUGCUUUGAAUAUAACUUCUUUAUUGGUGAUUGGAUAUCUAACCAUAAGUGCAGUGUGAAUAGGGUUGCCACCUUUGAAAAAUGGUUGACUUGGAGACAGACUGAUAAGCGACAAAAGAUACCGUACCUGUGCCUAUACAGCAAACGCCUAUCUAUAAAUUUAAUGUAUAACAAUAGUCAAUAAAUCGUAUUUUAUGUCAUAUUUUGGCAAAUGAAAAUAUUGUUCUCGUUACUUAUCGAUAAACUAUACACAAUUAUAUGAAUAGUACUAAUUUUACGACCCGGAAAAUAAUUCACUGAACCCGUAGUCCGUAGAUUUAUAUGUAAAAUCGGAGUAUCUGAGUGAAACCCGGAGAAGUGGCAACCCCAAGUGUGAACCGUGAUUGAAGAGUUCUUAUAGUUGCUGAAGUAAGUUAAAAUAAGAGCAUUUAGCUCAGUGUUGGGAAAUUUAUUUUAAAAAGUACCUAGGUACCUACAUCCUAAUAAUAUUUUAGUUAGUUUCAAAAAAAUCUUAUUAAUUAUUUAAUAAAAUAAACACAAUAAUAUUACCCUAAUGCAUACAUUUUGUUUUGUUUUUUUAGGCGCAACAGAAUACGUAUAAAACGUAGUUGGUUAUUGCACCGAAUAUGUUUUAAGUGAUAAAACAUGACAACAAAUAAAAAUAGUAAAAAAAUGCAUACAUAAAAAUAAUAAAUUUUUAAAUGCGUUUCCUGG